GGACCUGGCCGAGACUGUGGACA
rnacentral:piRNA from 1 species